UAGUCCACGCCGUAAACGAUGGUCACUAGUUGUUGGGGCUUUAUGCCUCAGUGAUUAAGCGAAAGUGAUAAGUGACCCACCUGGGGAGUACGAUCGCAAGAUUGAAACUCAAAGGAAUUGACGGGGGCCCGCACAAGCGGUGGAGCAUGUGGUUUAAUUCGAUGAUACGCGAGGAACCUUACCAGGGCUUAAAUGUAAGUUGCAUAGACCAGAGAUGGUCUUUUCUUCGGACUACUUACAAGGUGCUGCAUGGUUGUCGUCAGCUCGUGCCGUGAGGUGUCAGGUUAAGUCCUAUAACGAGCGCAACCCCUACCGUUAGUUGCCAGCAAGUAAAGUUGGGGACUCUAGCGGGACUGCCGGUGCAAACCGAGAGGAAGGUGGGGAUGACGUCAAAUCAUCACGGCCCUUACGUCCUGGGCUACACACGUGCUACAAUGGUCGUGACAAAGAGUUGCUAGUCUGCGAAGGCAAGCCAAUCUCAUAAACGCGGCCUUAGUUCGGAUUGCAGGCUGAAA
rnacentral:rRNA from 1 species